CGCUUAUCAAGAGCGAGGGAGGGACUGGCCCGAUGAACUCCGGCAACCUGCUUCAUUUAGCAAGGUGCCAAUUCCAGCAAAAUGGAUUCCAUUUUGGAAGAUAAGAC
rnacentral:ncRNA from 17 species